UAGGGAAUCUUCGGCAAUGGACGAAAGUCUGACCGAGCAACGCCGCGUGAGUGAAGAAGGUUUUCGGAUCGUAAAACUCUGUUGUUAGAGAAGAACAAGGACGUUAGUAACUGAACGUCCCCUGACGGUAUCUAACCAGAAAGCCACGGCUAACUACGUGCCAGCAGCCGCGGUAAUACGUAGGUGGCAAGCGUUGUCCGGAGUUAUUGGGCGUAAAGCGACCGCAGGCGGUUUCUUAAGUCUGAUGUGAAAGCCCCCGGCUCAACCGGGGAGGGUAAUUGGAAACUGGGAGACUUGAGUGCAGAAGAGGGGAGUGGAAUUCCAUGUGUAGCGGUGAAAUGCGUAGAUAUAUGGAGGAACACCAGUGGCGAAGGCGGCUCUCUGGUCUGUAACUGACGCUGAGGCUCGAAAGCGUGGGGAGCAAACAGG
rnacentral:rRNA from 1 species